rnacentral:rRNA from 1 species
AUUGAACGCUGGCGGCAUGCCUUACACAUGCAAGUCGAACGGCAGCACGGGAGCAAUCCUGGUGGCGAGUGGCGAACGGGUGAGUAAUGUAUCGGAACGUACCUUUCAGUGGGGGAUAACGUGGCGAAAGUUACGCUAAUACCGCAUAUUCUGUGUGCAGGAAAGCAGGGGAUCGCAAGACCUUGCGCUGAUUGAGCGGCCGAUAUCAGAUUAGCUAGUUGGUGAGGUAAAGGCUCACCAAGGCGACGAUCUGUAGCGGGUCUGAGAGGAUGAUCCGCCACACUGGAACUGAGACACGGUCCAGACUCCUACGGGAGGCAGCAGUGGAGAAUUUUGGACAAUGGGGGCAACCCUGAUCCAGCCAUGCCGCGUGAGUGAAGAAGGCC